UAAUUUUUUAAUCGUUGUUUAGUUGUAUAAUGAAGCCUUACAGACAGGGGCAAACAGUAAAUCCUCUUUUGCAACCCACUACUCAUUGUUGAGUAUGAGAUUUUGGAACAUGUAAGAAGGAAUAUG